AAAAAGAGCUUCUGCGUGAGUGGCACAUGUAAGGCAACUCCACUGCUCUGAGUGCAGAACCAACAUCAAGAGAUUUCAGAAGUAUAUUUUUUUGGUACCUGGACAGCUGGUGAUCAUUGGUCCUGGUGUCCUA